rnacentral:pre_miRNA from 1 species
AAUAAAUACAGUUUUACACUGUUUAUGUCUAACGUUUGGCCAUUCGUCAUAUUUAAAAAUUUAUUAUGAUUACUAUUUUUAUUGUUAUUAGGUGAUAAAAUAUGAAUAAUACUUUAUGUGUGACUAAUUCUUUUUAAUUUUUUUUAUAAUUUUUUCAAAUAAGAUAAACGGUUGAUACUGAUACCGACGGCUGCACUUAUU